CCUGAGUUGAUCCUCAGAACCCACCAGGAGAAAAAAAAAUAAAUCAUGGUGGUCCACUCUUGUAAGCUGAGGAGAUGCCAGCCAAGCCUGAGUGACAAGUUCGGGGCAAUGUGAUACUCUACCACAAAGAAAAAGAACCUUGGAGUUCCUCAAUGUGGAGCAGCAUAACAUAUCCUGUCCCAGCUGGAGAAGACUUUGUUCUCAACACCGACUUGUUUAUUCAAGAGAACAGAUUUCUGAGAAUCUCACACCCAGCACGCUGGCUGUAUCCGGCCCUGCCUUGAGACCCUCAAAUGACAUUUCUGUUGGCUCAAGACCCACACAACAGUGAGAAGUGGGCACUGACACCACCGUCUGUGACCAUUUUCCCCAGGGGUGUUGCCCCACACCAAGAAGUGACCGGAGACACUGUAGGGUAAAGAGAAAGAUAACACAGCCUCACGUCCCGGAGAAGUGGCUGCUUGCUCUUCCUGCCUCUUGGGCGAUGGGGCCCAUGGAGGUGUCCCUCUCUAGUUCUCCAUAGCUCCUGCCUCUCUGCAUAAGACAACAGCUUCCUGCACUUCCAAGGGGACAAAAACAAGGGGCACAGAAGAGGCCCAGUCUGCCAUCCCUCUCUGCUUUACUCUGAACAAUACCAAGUCAGGAAAGCCUAAGGCUAAUUUUAACCUGAUCGAGAGAAGAGAAAAGGGCCGACUACUGGCAGGUGACACGUGUACCUGUGUGUUCCUGCCUGAUGGUGUCUCUCAACUCCUGUGGCCUUGGCUGUGCUGACUCAGUGAGGAGGGACUGCAGCUCUGCCCUGUGACCUUACAAUCUACCCCAGGGUUGGAACCUGAGCUUUGGCCACGUUGAGCAACAGAAAGAAAACUGAAAAACAAAAUUCUGUGACUAAGGCUUUGAGCUCUGUCCCCCCCACCCCCACCCCCGAUGCAACAACCCAAUGACCCAGCUGAAACUGCAGGAUAAAACCAGCAGCCCUCUGUCUUACACUCUCCCUUCCCCCAAUCCUGUCCUGGCGGGUUCUGGAGAGCAGAGGUCAGACUGCCAAGUAGAAGGAACUGGAAGUGGGUUUCUAAUACCUUGCUACCAGUUCCUAACAAGACCCUGCUUAGUAGGGUCAGUGGUCCCCAGCUCUUGUAAAGCACACUUUUUGUUUUUUGUUUUUCGAGGCAGGGUUUCUCUGUGUAGCCCUGGC